rnacentral:lncRNA from 1 species
CCCCUGGGCUAACAGGCCAAGGGAAAAACCUCAAUGGCGCCCACCGGGGUCUGUGUCAGCAUGCCUGGACCAGCUCAGAACAAUGGCCCCCACCAAUGUCUUAGUCUCCAGAGAGGUCCCUCCUCUCACCAGAGCCCACCCAGGAUUCUUGUCAUCAGCAUUCUUAACAGGGAUUCCUGACAUGACAUUCAGGACCCAAUGCUCCUGUGUGUGGCACUUACACGUGAGAGCUGCUUCAUUCCAGAAACCCAGCCCGAACCAAGACAAGACCGCAUGCUGCUCAGGAGGUGUAUGUUUCAGAGAGCUAAGCUUUCUCACCUUUCCACAAGGUCCUGCAGCAUGAUGCUACAGCUGCCGCCGUUGUGCAUGGAUGAGGAGCGAGAGAACCCCUUCCACAGUUCCUGGUCAGUGAAGACGUCUAGAAAGAACAAAUCAUCUCCUGAUGCCCUCCGUGGUGAUUCUCCCGUCUGUUAUUUAUGACACCCCUCCAGCACUGCUCGGCCCAACAUCUCAGUCGUCUUGUCCUACCAGAUACCUCACUCUGUUUCUGGAUAUGACCGCGUAAACGUGAGGCCCGUCUGUGCUGGGGCCACUUUGCAAUAAUCCAGGAAGUCAGCCCAAAGUGAUGGCAACACCACGGCAAGACAGAGGGACAAAUAAUGACACCAGUGAACUGUUAAUCCUCCUCUUUCCAAUGACAAGACCCACUACGUCCCUAGCGUCAUAGAAAUCAACUUGAUUCUGGUGCCCUUUGACAAGCUCCGGGAAGUGUCCCAAAUGCUGUGAUCUGCCAUUUGUGCUGUGUCCACACAGAGACCCAGCCCUCGCCUUCCCCCACUCUGAGCUCUGACACCACAUAGAGUCUGGAGCACACAAUGACAUCGUAUCACGAUUGGUAUGUGCUGCUUCCUGUGUUUAUCUUGGGCUGCCCAGCUAGAUGUUCAGCUUCUUAGAGCAGAGAUUCAGCUUUCUCUUCUUGUACGCCAGCAACAUCUGGCAUAAAACUAAAAUGAUGUUUGGUACUCAACAAAGAAUGAUGGAUUAAAUGAGCAUCUUGCAUUCAUCUUGGGUGUAGUAAGUAAGUAAGUAAGUAAUUUCCUGUGCCAUGUUCUUUUGGCAUUUGUUUGUAUAUUGCAUAUCAUCAGAAAAGGUAUUUAAUAAUUGUUACCUGGGAGUCUUAGG